rnacentral:lncRNA from 11 species
GGGAGAUUAUGCCCCUCAGCUGUGUUAUCCACGUAAUGGGAGAACCCAUUAGCACAAACCCCAUUACACUGACUAUUCUGAAAGUUGCUUCCUCAGCAACAGAAAGACAGACCCCUCAUUAAUCAUCCAGCUAUUACAUGGUAAGUGGGGUUUGGGGGAACCUGCAUUGUCCCCUCAUGUACCC